GAAAAGAGUUGGAUUUAUUUCCAUAAAUAUCUGUAAAAGUGUACCCAUUCUUUGUAAGCAUAUCUUACGAUAAAUUUCGACCUAAUACUGAAAACUACAGAGACAUAUUUAUCAUGAUAAAUUAUAGAUAUUUGAAUUUUACAUAAGAAGUAUACAUUGUACUUGUAUACCAUAACUGUUAGUUUUGUGAAAAUGAGACUCCGUCCAAUGUUUAUUUCAUGGAAUUAUUUAGAACUAGUUUGAUUUAAUCUGUGAUAUUAAUAUUAUAUGUGUUUUAGAUUUAUAUAUCUUGUUUGAAGUUUUUCUUUAAAAUGUUGACAUGUUUUAUGUACAAGUAACUCUGACUUGUUCUUGUAUGUUUGAGUAUUCUGGAAGUAAGAGCACUAAAUAAAGCACGAUGUUCCA
rnacentral:misc_RNA from 1 species